GAGGCUGUAGCUCAGUCGGUAGAGCAUCGGACUUUUAAUCCGUUGGUCCUGGGUUCGAGUCCCAGCAGCCUCA
rnacentral:tRNA from 1 species